GAUGAACGCUAGCGGCAGGCUUAACACAUGCAAGUCGAGGGGUAUGCCGAUUUAUCGGCAGAGACCGGCGCACGGGUGCGUAACGCGUAUGCAAUCUACCUUUCACAGAGGGAUAGCCCAGAGAAAUUUGGAUUAAUACCUCAUAGUAUAGCAGUUUCGCAUGAAACCACUAUUAAAGUUCCAACGGUGAAGAUGAGCAUGCGUCCCAUUAGCUAGAUGGUAAGGUAACGGCUUACCAUGGCUACGAUGGUAGGGGUCCGUGAGAGGGAGAUCCCCCACCACUGGUACUGAGACACGGACCAGACUCCUACGGGAGGCAGCAGUGA
rnacentral:rRNA from 1 species